AAUCUACCCUGUGGUUGAUGAUAACCCCGGCAAACUGGGGAUAAACAUCGAUAAUCACCGUCUGUUGGAAUACUUCGGUGGUAAAAGGAGUAUAAGCAUGGUUAUACACGCCAUAGGACGAGACUGCGUCCGAUUAGGUAUUGCGUGGGGUAAUGGCCCACGUAGCCUUAUCGGUAGGGGCUAUGAGUAGUAGUAUCCCCCAGUUGAAUCCUGAGACACUGAUUCAGGGCCUAUGGGUUGCAGCAGGCACGAAACCUUCACAAUGCACGAAAGUGUGAUGAGGUCAUCCCGAGUCCUAGGCUUACGUCUAGGUUUUCUGAAGUGUUAAAAGCUUCAGGAAUAAGGAGGGGGCAAGAACGGUGCCAGCCGCCGCGGUAAAACCGUCUCUUCGAGUGGCCACCGCGUUUACUGGGCUUAAAGCGUGCGUAGCGGGAUUAGUCCGUCCCACAUUAAAGACGGCUUCUUAAGAGUCCGAAGUGUGUGGGAAACAGCUAAUCUUGGCAAUGGGAUAGGGGCUCGGUACCCGUGGUGUAAAGGUGAAAUUUUAUAAUCCCACGGGGACCACCGAUGGCGAAGGCAGAGCCCUGGAACAUGUGCGACCGUCAGGCACGAAAGGGUGGGUAGCGAGCCGGAUUAGAUACCCGGGUAGUCCACCCCGUAAACGAUGCGGAUUAAGUGUAUGGGAAGCGAAUGCUUUCCAUGUGCCGCAGGGAAGCCGUUAAGUUUGCCGCCUGGGAAGUACGCUCGCAAGAGUGAAACUUAAAGGAAUUGGCGGGAGAGCGCCACAAUGGGUGGAGCCUGCGGCUUAAUUGGACUCAACGCCGGAAAACUCACCAGAGUCUUCUAUCCGAUGCCAACCAGCUUGAAGAGCUUGUUGAAAGGAUGAAAGGGAAGUGCAUGGCCGUCGUCAGCUCGUGCCGUGAGGUGUCCUGUUAAGUCAGGUAACGAGCGAGAUCCUUGCCUCUAGUUGCCACCAUUACUCUCAGGAGUAGUGGGGCGAAUUAGCGGGACUGCCGUAGUUAAUACGGAGGAAGGAGAGGGCCACGGCAGGUCAGUAUGCCCUGAAACUCUGGGGCCACACGCGGGCUGCAAUGGUAGUGACAAUGUGUUCCGAAUCCGAGAGGAGGAGGUAAUCCUCAAACGCUACCACAGUUAUGACUGAGGGCUGCAACUCGCCCUCACGAAUAUGGAAUCCCUAGUAACUGCGUGUCAUUAUCGCGCGGUGAAUACGUCCCUGCUCCUUGCACACACCGCCCGUCGUUUCAUUGAAGUUUGCUUUUAGCGAGGUGACGUCUAAUUGGCGUUAUCGAACUUGAGGUAAGCGACAAGGGAAAAGUCGUAACAAGGUGACCGUAGGGGAACCUGCGGUCGGAUCACCUCCU
rnacentral:rRNA from 1 species